GGUAUACUCCCGCUAAAUUGAUUUCCAUCGAAUAGUCUGCCAUUUCAGAAUCAUAGAUUAUCAGAGAAGGCCACCCAAGACGAUCCAGUCCAGGAUCUUUCGCUGUUGAAACGGGGAGAGAUCCUGUCAACUGAUUAUCUGCCAGGUCAAGCCAGUAGAGUUUGGAGAGAUUACCCAGAGUUGCUGGAAUUUCACCCGUGAAGUUAUUUGAGUUGAGUGCUCUAUCGAGGAACCAACAUUGAAUUAGUUGACAGGUGAUAGUUGCAACUUGCAAAACAACUACUGCUAUCAAUCAACCUAUUUCUCAAAGUUUUUCAUGUUCUUACAAGAAGGAUAAUUCUGAAAGUUUCCCCAGUUCAGCAGGUACACUGCCACUAAAGCUACACCCAGCAAGAAUUCUGAAAAGAAAACACACCCAUUACUCUUAAUCAGGAAUAGAGUUGAUCAUCAAGAUCAGUUCCGAGUUUAAUUUGGAUCUUACAGUAUGCUUAGUUUCUGCAGAUCUCCAAUCCUUGGAGAAAUGGAGCCUGUGAGGCCUCGGUUAAAUGACAGGUCUCUGCAGAACAAUCAAGUUCACAACAAACAGGAGGUUAUUGCUUGGCAAACUUGUGCAGUUGUGCUUUAUUGGAGUAAAAACUGCUCCAAAGAAGAGAAAACUCACAAGGAUAUUAAUUCAGUAAGACCCCCAAUAUCACCAUUUAGUUUUCCUUUCAAGCCCAUAGUUGACAGUCCCCUGAAAAUGCAAUUAGUGAACAAAUCCACUCAAAAUUUUUGUGCAAAAGAUCUGAAAUGAUGACUCAACAGUACAGUACUUACAGUGCAGUGACCCUGGAGUUGUUGCAGGAUACUCCUUCCCAGGAUCCUCCACAAGGAUCAUCGGAGUCGUCCCAACUUGGAGGCGUGUUUUGCCACUGGUCUUUCAGAGAGGUGAGCACAGCUACUGCACUUGAGUGUGUUACUUGGUUAAAAAUUAAAGGGAGAUUUCAUAGUUCUAUGAAGCUACAAGAAUGGCAAUAUAUAUGCAGAAAAA